rnacentral:pre_miRNA from 1 species
AGAGGAAUAGCUGGGUCAAAUGGUGGUUCCAUUCCCAGUUUUUCAGGAAUCUCCAUACUGCUUUCCAAAUUGGCUGCACCAAUUACAGUCCCACCAGCAAU